rnacentral:rRNA from 1 species
GACGAACGCUGGCGGCGUGCUUAACACAUGCAAGUCGAACGGAAAGGCCUGCUUUCCCUUGUGGAUUGCGGGUACUCGAGUGGCGAACGAGUGAGUAACACGUGAGUGAUCUGCCCCCAACUUGGGUAUAAGCCUGGGAAACUGGGUCUAAUUCCCGAUAGGACUGCAGGGUGGUGCCUGUGGUGGAAAACGAUUUUCUAGUGGUUGGGGAUGAGCUCGCGGCCUAUCAGCUUGUUGGUGGGGUAAUGGCCUACCAAGGCGGCGACGGGUAGCCGGCCUGAGAUGGUGGACGGCCACAUUGGGACUGAGAUACGGCCCAGACUCCUACGGGAGGCAGCAGUGGGGAAUAUUGCACAAUGGGCGGAAGCCUGAUGCAGCGACGCCGCGUGGGGGAUGACGGCCUUCGGGUUGUAAACUCCUUUCGACCGCGAGGAAGCCACCUGGUUGGAAGGGUGGUGACGGUAGUGGUAGAAGAAGCACCGGCUAACUACGUG